UUCAAAGGCUAUACUUGUCAAUUGUCUAAUCUCUCAAGCUAAGCAAGGCCAGGCCUGGCUAGUACUUGGAUGGGAGACCUUGGGAAUUUCUGGUGCCACAGUGU
rnacentral:rRNA from 1 species